rnacentral:rRNA from 1 species
AUUGAACGCUGGCGGAAUGCUUUACACAUGCAAGUCGAGCGGCAGCGCGGCCUUCGGGCUCGCUUCCAGCGGCGGACGGGUGGGUAAUGCAUCGGAACAUCCCCAUUCGUUGUGUAUAACACUUCGACGGAAGUGCUCAUACCCCAUACGUCCUGACGGCGAAAGCGGGGGAUCACAAGACCUCCCGCGCUUGCAGUGUCCGAUGUCAGAUUAGCUAGUUGGUGGGGUAAAGGCCUACCAAGGCGACGAUCUGUAGCUGGUCUGAGAGGAUGAUCAGCCACACUGGAACUGAGACACGGACCAGACUCCUACGGGAGGCAGCAGUGGGGAAUUUUGGACAAUGGGGGCAAGCCUGAUCCAGCCAUUCCGCGUGAGUGAAGAAGGCCUUCGGGUUGUAAAGCUCUUUUGUCAGGAAAGAAAAGGUGGGGUCUAACACAGUGCGGUAAUGACGGUACCUGAAGAAGAAGCACCGGCUAACUACGUG